UUAAUUGAAGAGUUUGAUCAUGGCUCAGAUUGAACGCUGGCGGCAGGCCUAACACAUGCAAGUCGGGCGGUAACAGGGGGAAGCUUGCUUCUCUGCUGACGAGCGGCGGACGGGUGAGUAAUGUAUGGGGAUCUGCCUGAUGGCGGGGGAUAACUACUGGAAACGGUAGCUAAUACCGCAUAAUGUCUUCGGACCAAAGCGGGGGA
rnacentral:rRNA from 1 species